rnacentral:rRNA from 1 species
GUGACCUACGGGGCGCAGCAGUGGGGAAUAUUGCACAAUGGGGGGAACCCUGAUGCAGCAAUGCCGCGUGGGUGAAGAAGCACUCCGGUGCGUAAAGCCCUGUCAGCAGGGAAGAAAGAAAUGACGGUACCUGACCAAGAAGCCCCGGCUAACUACGUGCCAGCAGCCGCGGUAAUACGUAGGGGGCAAGCGUUAUCCGGAAUUACUGGGUGUAAAGGGAGCGUAGACGGUGAUGCAAGUCUGGAGUGAAAGGCGGGGGCCCAACCCCCGGACUGCUCUGGAAACUGUGUAACUUGAGUGCAGGG